GGGCCUUUAGCUCAGUUGGUAGAGCGCCACGCUUACACCGUGGAUGUCGUCGGUUCGAGCCCGGCAGGGCCCACGA
rnacentral:tRNA from 3 species